UACGAAGGGGGUUAGCGUUGCUCGGAAUGACUGGGCGUAAAGGGCGCGUAGGCGGUUUGCACAGUCAGAUGUGAAAUUCCUGGGCUCAACCUGGGGGCUGCAUUUGAUACGUGUAGACUUGAGUGGGGAAGAGGGUCGUGGAAUUCCCAGUGUAGAGGUGAAAUUCGUAGAUAUUGGGAAGAACACCGGUGGCGAAGGCGGCGACCUGGUCCGACACUGACGCUGAGGCGCGAAAGCGUGGGGAGCAAACAGG
rnacentral:rRNA from 1 species